rnacentral:misc_RNA from 1 species
CUGGUGGUAUUUUGACAUAUGAGGUAUGAUUCUGGACAAUCACUAAACAUUAAGGUUUGCCCAUGAAUAAAUAUCUCAACACCACUGAUUCCACUGCAAGCUAUGCACCUUUAGACCUCUCAGUUUGAGAAGAGGAAAGCGUUGACAUAUUUGUGCAGUUGUGCUCCAAUUGGCCGUUCCUGUGAUAAUUUUGCUGCUGUUAGUUCAAAAUUUCAGGUUUAUCUAUGCACAUUCAGCACAAAAUUUUCUUUGCAGGGCCGUUUUGAG